AAUAAAAUAGAACAAAAUGAAAUAAAAUAAAAUAAAAUACGGUAUGUACCGAAUAUUAAUGUAAAUGGCCUGCAAAUUAUCUAAGCGAGCUGCCACAUAUAAAAAAAUAAAUACUUAUUCACUUAUACAACUCAAAACUUGAACCCAUCUAUAAUUGCCGCAAACUCUUCUAAGAACGAGUGAAAUCUUUCUAUGCGAUGCAAAUGCAAGCAAAAUAUGUAUCAACUAGGAACCAACUAGUCAACUUUGUGUAUUCCCUUCCACUUUCAGACAAAAGCAUUUUGGUCAUGACCAACCAUAGACUAACAGAUUUCGUUGGCGUAAACAGGAACAGUCUUUGUUACAUAGCACACAUAUAAUGAACUUAGCUGCACCACAUCAGAAGCUAAGCAGCAAAGGAGAGCUUGUGGCAAGUGACAUAUGUACAUAUAUGGUGACUCCUCAUCUGUCUCACCCCUUCUUCUGCCACUCUCACUCGAACCACUAGCCGCUGACAAAGUUCAAGUGAAAACAUACUUGACUCUGUUGUGGUAAAUCUCAUGUGGCACACGUUUGACAUUCUACUUGCUGCCGGUGGCGAGCAAUGAGUGGGCACAGGCCCAACCGCUGGCAGCUGAGAGAGAAGUGCAAAAAGUGAAAAACAGAAAUCCAGAAAGGCUAAAGUGUUGUAAUUAGAAGGAACAUAGCUAAUAGCUCCGAGAAGGAGAGAAUUGACGUGUGUUGGCAGCGAUGAGUGAGUUCUCAAAGAAAUUUCAAAUUACAAUUUAGUAGGAGUAAAAUGUUAAAUGAAUGUUGGGCAUGCCAUGAAAAUUAGAUGGAAUCGGAAUUUGAAUAUUUUGAGGUUAGAUGCUAUUAAAAUGUUGAAAUUUUUAGAAAUUUUGCUAAAAUUGACUUGCAUAAUUUUGUGUCAUAAAAUGAGUUGCAAAUGCGACUUGAUGAUGAUUGGCUGAGUAAAAGUGGUAUUUUUACGAUGCUCUUAAUUGCACUUUAUUUCGUAUGUGUGUAUGUCUGUGCGCUUUUUUAUAUGAUUUAAAUUAAAAUGCAUAUUUUCGCCUGUGUAAAGACAAAAAUUUUAUUUCUCUCCUUCCACUUCAACUCAAUGCAUGCCUAAAAUGAUUUUAUUUCAACUUUUCUCUUGUUGAAAAACAUAAAAUUUACAACUCAAAUACGCCAACUGUCAUAUAACUUGACUAAAUUGAAAUUUACGCGUAUAAAACUUGUUUACGGAAUGGAAUUUCAAAGUUUUCUGUGUGCACGAAAUAAAUAAUAUAAAUCACAUCUAUAUACAUACACUUACAUACAUGUAUGUAUACAUAUAAAUAUAUGAGCUUGUAUGUAUAUAUAGCUGCGAAAGUCAAAUCAAUUUUUGUCCAUCCCAAGCAUACGAAAUUUUCGCCUCGCCGCGUUUUGCGUAUUGUAUGCGUUUCCAAAGUAGCCAUCAAAAUAAAUCCAAAGCCAUAAAUGCAAGUGAAAUUCAAAAUGAAAAUGAAAAUGGAAAUGAAAUUGGAAAUAUGCACAAAUCUGCCCUGCGAACGAAAAGGAUAAUUUUGAAAUGGACACAUGCACGCAUGCCGCUAUCAAUCUGCUGCUGUUGGCUGCACAGAAUGCAACUGUUUGUGUUGUUGUUGUUGUCGUGGUCGUUAUCACCGAAGUGCAGAAACUUGAUUAUUCGCCACAUUGAAUAAACUCAGCGGUUGGUUUUAUGGGCUGGCAAAUGUCCGGGUAGUUCAGGGCACUAAGGGUGUGAUCGAUCCACCGACUGAUGCCUAGAUAACACCAAAUUUAUGUCGAAUGCUAGUGAAAAAUGGGACUCCAAAAGAUUGAAUAAACCGAAUAGGAAUUGUCCGCCUGAAGUACAACAAAGCGCCGGGAGCCGUUGACUUACACCCUGAGGUAUUCAUGCCUCCUUAUCAUCGCAUAUAAGAAUUUCUGAGAGUAUAUUGUGAGAAAUUGAAGCUCACUACCAACGAACUCAUUGGAGUGUGGCAGGGUGGCUCAGACUUGGAAAAUCUACAAUUGCCAGAUAUUCACCAUGAGCCACAUCUGCAAAAGACUCUUCAAAAGAGAAUAUGAAAUACACAGCACCUCUACGCCGACUUUAAAGCCUUCGACAGCAAAAAGAGGAGCUGACUCUAUUCUGACUUUUUUUAGUGUCACACAAAACUUACACGGUUGUGAAAAAUGACGCUCGAUAGUACCAAAAAGGCAAUCAGAAGUGGGAAGCGCCUCCCCGAGCCAUUCGAUAUCAAACAAGCUGGUGGAAAUAGUAAGAGCUCCAAAAGUAAACAGAGAAGGUGCAAUCUUCUCAGCGAGUAAUUGCUAUCAUCGACCUCAAUAACCGCGUUGUAAAUUCUGCUUUCUUGAGUCUGGAUUAUGAGGACAAGACAAAGUAACUUCUCUCAAACGCAUCCGCGACUCGGCUUCCACUUCGCUAUUAACAGUCAUAACUUUCGCUUAACUAAGAACCAGCACUAACACCAAACACAGUGGCAAACGGGAAAUCAAAAACAGAAUCUCUCUUUGGACUGAGUAGGUAAAUGAAAGGUAAAGUGUACUCUCUAUAAGCAAAAGCCAAGCGCUCCAAAAGCCCCUCAUAAUACAAAUUUGGCUAUAAACUGCCGAGGCAUGGGCAAUGUGAACAUCUGACGAGUCAGCGUAAGGGUUUUUGAAAGAAAAGCUUUGGAAUAAUAGCUAUGUGAGAUGUACAGAGAUAGUGACUAUGCUGGUUAGGUCAAUUCAGCUCUAAAUGUAUAGGAUGCAUUACCCCUUGAAGGAAGGUUUUUCUGCUUACUUCUUCCUUCCUUCUUAAGAUGAAGAGCGAAUAGGUUUCUACGGUUGCCUCUAGUGGAUGGUGAACGGCUAAAAGAAACGAAAUUUUCAAGUUUUAUGCACACAUUUUUGCUGUUCAUAUGGAAAAUAUCCGAAUUGGGUCUAAUUUAAAUUUGUUUUUAAUUAAUAUUAAAUUAUUAUUUUUUAUGGAAAGUGUUAUGUAAUUAUGGCAUACGAGUGCAUAUAAUUUUUGAGAUUUUUGCCCAAAUUACGAGAAUUUAAUAAUAAUUGUUAACUAUGUAUGCAGGCAUAUGUAAGCAUCUGGGGAAAUUCCUUGCUGAGCAUAAUGUUGCUUCACGUUGGGCUUUCUCAGCUCGCAUUGGAGUGUCUCCCAGAGUUUUCGACAUGCAAUUAAUGGGAAUGUGAGUGAUCAUUAAAUUACAUAUGCAUGCUUUCACGUUAAGAACACACAUAUACAUACAUAUGUAGCACACAUACACAUGUCUGCUGAGAAGGCGUUGCAACAGCACGUAUUUUACAUUCCUGCCGAAUAAUUAUUUAAAUAUUACUCUACGUCAGGGCAGACCGGCGACAGCUUUCUACCAAAGACAUAGAGGAGAGGCGAGGAUUCGAGGAUACCAUAGUAUAAUUGCUCGUUCAAUGCAAAUGAAACGGAAGAAUAAGCAAAUAUAAAGAGCGGAGAGCGGAGAGCGAAGAGCGGGCAGAGUGGAGACUGAGGGGAUGUUAAAUAACAAAACUAUUUACAUACAUACAUACAGUUGGCGGUAAUAUGAAUAAUUAUAAAUACACGUAUGUACAUAUGCGAAGAGAUAAAUGAGGCGCUGAAGAGAGGUGUGCAAAAAAAAAAAACCAAACACUGUUAAAGCAAUAAGGGAGAGGAGGGGGACAAGCAAGCAAAGUCCCUGAGCUUUGAGCCUAAUCUUGAUAUUGCUUAAUUAAAAAAACACAUUUCAUAGCAUUCUACAAGGCAAUUAAUAUUGCCUGCAAUUUCGCAAAACUAAUGAUCAAUUAGCAAAUACAUAUGCAUGUAUGUGUGUAUGUACAUAUCUCAUUUCACUAUUUCAAACCAAGAAAUACUUAAGUUGUGAAAUUGAACCAAGGUAAAGAAAAGAAAUGUGUGACUUUGAAUGUGAAUUGAGAUAACCAAAGGUGAAGUGUAGAAUUUCAACUUAAUUUAAGUACUCAUACGCGUGUACAUAUGUUUAUAUACGUAAAUACAUGUUUGUGUGCAUGUGUUAGGCAAAUUAUAGCUUAUUUCAUAGCUCCCCUUUGAGAUCACGUGCUUGUUCAUGUGCGUUCUUUUCUCACAAUUAUUUAUUGCGUCUAACUGAAUCUCCUGCUCCAAGUAACUCAAUAGCUGGCUCCUCCUUGCCGCUGUGAAAGGAGAUACUUGAAAUUCAAUUUUUUCUUCAUUUCAUUUACACCUGUAUUGUAUUGUGUUUGGCUUUAAAUUAUUACUCUUUGUCAGUCGUUGCCAUAUAAAUCAGCAUUAUUACGAAAAUCCCUUCAUGAGUGUUGAGAUAUGGCAAAUCUGACACUGCACAGUGGCACCGUCUAAUACGAUCUUUUGACAAAUAUAUCUAAAGUGUGGAAAGGAGCUUUCAUCUUUUAUAUCCAAUAUUCGUGAAAAGAUAACAAAGAAGAAAAAUAAAUUUGAAAAGCUAAACACAGCAAUGCCAAAAGACGCCAUAAAAGAGUUAAUAAGAAACAUCAAGCACUGAGUUUGGUACACAUGCUGGUGGUUUUAAUCAAUCUUGGUAGAACUGCAAUUUGGGAACGCUAAAAUAUUAUCUCCUCUACGCAAGAAUAAGAAACCUAACUUAAAACAAAAGCGCCCUCAGGGAACCAGAGUCAUCUUUUUAGGCGGCUUAAAACUCGACGAAAAACGUGAAACAUGAGCAUGGGCUAUCGGAGUCUGCAGUGCCUUCCAAGCAGCACUCUUUGCAAUCAUGGAAGCCCGGAGUGACUGCCCAAAUUUACGGUAGCAGGACAAACAGUAACGAUAUAUUCCAUCUCUAUAGAGAUCAAUAUACAUCAAUAAAGAAAGAGUC
rnacentral:lncRNA from 1 species